UUAUUUGAGAGUUUGAUCCUGGCUCAGGAUGAACGCUGGCGGCGUGCCUAACACAUGCAAGUCGAGCGGGAUUGUGGAGUAGCUUGCUACGAAGCAAUCUAGCGGCGGACGGGUGAGUAACGC
rnacentral:rRNA from 1 species